GACGAACGCUGGCGGCGUGCUUAACACAUGCAAGUCGAACGGAAAGGCCCUGCUUUUGUGGGGUGCUCGAGUGGCGAACGGGUGAGUAACACGUGAGUAACCUGCCCUUUACUUUGGGAUAACUUCAGGAACCUGGGGCUAAUACCGGAUAGGAGCUCCUGCUGCAUGGUGGGGGUUGGAAAGUUUCGGCGCUUGGGGAUGGACUCGCGGCUUAUCAGCUUGUUGGUGGGGUAGUGGCUUACCAAGGCUUUGACGGGUAGCCGGCCUGAGAGGGUGACCGGCCACAUUGGGACUGAGACACCGCCCAGACUCCUACGGGAGGCAGCAGUGGGGAAUAUUGCACAAUGGGCGGAAGCCUGAUGCAGCAACGCCGCGUGCGGGAUGACGGCCGUCGGCUUGUAAACCGCUUUCGCCUGUGACGAAGCGUGAGUGACGGUAAUGGGUAAAGAAGCACCGGCUAACUACGUG
rnacentral:rRNA from 1 species